CGUUAGAUAAAAUAUUAGCCUAUUUUGAGCUUUUUUGUUUCGUGUGCAAAUCCCAAAUUCAAAUCCCAAACGUCGAAUGCAAGCUCACUGGGAGCUCUCGCUUGACAUCAACGGACGGGUAGCAAAUUGUCCUGCAUCGUCCACUGAACGCAACGCAGCUGUUUCCGCCUCCAUCACAACCUCAGAUCGGAUCGAAGAGUGAAAAAGUGAACAGCAGCCCGCGAGACUGUUUUUUGUAUCGUCCGCCGAAAAGUGUGUUGCUGGCCUCGCGCCGAAGAAUCCAGAGUGAUACGGUCGGAAGACGAGACGCCCAAGAAGAUCUACGCAACACCGUCACCGCCGUAGAAAAUCCGUCAUUUCUAGAAAUUCACGACCGCUAGAGGAGUAAGGCUAUUGCAUCGGGUCCAUCGGGUUUAUUCCGCUGGGCAAUAAGCCGACGAAACGACAGGUAAAUAAAGCCCGAUUUCCGAGCAGCGGCGGCGGCAUCCAGCUGACACGUCACGACCCA